UUUUUUUAUUACAGCCUAUAAAGAGAACAAUACUGUAAAAACAUUUUUGUUCAGUGAAGCAUUGUAAUUUCAGUGUGAAUUACUAGAUUGAAGUGUCCCGUGAUUCAUUCAGUUAUUUGCCUUGCUGGUUGCUGUGCUGUGACAAUCCUGUGCUCUGAGGUGUGUCCCGACCAGGACAACCAUGAGCUGGAUGUGUGAUGUGGAUAACUGCAGCUUGUGGCCAACAUCAGAAAGAUCGAAGAACAGAAUACAGUUGGAAGCCAACAACAUAUUUGUGCUUCAUGCAUAGAGGGAGCAUAGGAAAUACUCUGCCUUCUGAUGCAGCUGUUAGAGGGAAUAAUAUACCAAAGCCAAGCAAAGAUGAAGAAGAAAGAUAGAAAGAUACUAAAGGAAAAGCUUCAACCGAAAAGCAGUUCUAAGUGACAGGUAACCAGCAGGCCACUUUUUGAAGGCUGUUUUGACUUUGAGAACAAGAGGCCCCAGUAGAGAAGCUGGCCUCAGCUAAGACUCCUGAAAGAGAACAAGGAUGUUACCAAUUGAGCAUUUCAUGGUCAGUGCUUUCUAAUCAAGCAGCUACUACAGAAAGCAGGGUGCUCUGUGAGCAGUGAAAGGUGAGCAGUGCCGAGAUAGCUCUCAGGGUACUAAGAGAGUCUUCUUCACCCUGAGCAACCCUCCUGAGACCUACACUUGCACUGCCAUGGGCCCAGGAGCCCACUGCAGCUCAGUUCUGGCCCAUCAGCUCCUGAUCCACUGACACUGUUGGUGGGUCUGCAUGAAGCCCUGUCACAGCUGGGCCUGUUGCCUGCCUAUGGACAUUGUUGAUCCUGACCUGUGAACUCUGCCCAGCUUGAUGUUAUAUCUUCUUUGUUGCUAUUGACCUGCCUGGGAAUCGCUGGGCUGUCUCGAACCCUGGUCUGAUUCUGACUUCCCCGCUUGACCUCGGAGCUGUCUCAUCACAUGAGAAUGAACUCAGCUGGUGAUAAGGACUUCAAGCAGUUCUACAUUCCCCGCCCCCAUCCUGCUCCUUUGAUGUGAGGAUGGGCCCUGGGUGGUGAUGCCUGUUCUCUGACAGCACCAGGAUCCUCCUUGGCUGCUGCUUUCCCCUCUACUUAUGUUACAGCUUGUCCCUUCCUGUGCCGCUGAAAAAGUAAUCAUACCUGUGAUUAAUAUCUAUCAGUGACAUCAUGUAAAGCUGAGAUUGACUAGAUAAUGGUAUAUGAAAUGCUGAAUUGAGGUACAGAUAUAGAAGAACUGGGAGGAGACUGCCUGAAGAAAUAGCAGUACAACUAUGGAAAAAAGGAAGGUCUAGAAAGGAGGGAAAAACAAGAAUGUGGUAUGGAAAUCAGUCAGUAAAGAACAGAGGGGGUACCCUGCUAACUGUUGGAGUGUAGUGGCUUACGGUGACCUAGAGGUGCAGAGGGUGACCUAGAGCUCUGAGCCCACCUGGAGAAAGUCCUCUCAGUCAAAGCACAGGACUGUCAAUCAGAUCAUUCUGUUUUCAGAAGGCUUGGUGUGGAAGCCUGGAACAAAAGGGAAUUGUCCUCCACUGUAAAUGGAAAUAAUUUGUAGAUCAGUAGUUGGUUGGUCAUAGGUUUUAAGAGUAAUAGUAAAUUUGUAAUUAUGUGUGAUAGGAUGCACAGUGAUGCAAUUGCAAAUGUAGCUACGUGUUUACUACUUAAGUUUUAGGUUGUUUAUUUAUCUGAUAGUUUUGAAAUGACUUAAUUUAAGUAAUGAAUGUCAUAGUCAUCUUAAUUGAUCUUCUUGUGCCUCAAGACUAAAGAAGAAAAAUCAGAACCCAAGGUAACAUUCUCAGACGUCUUCUGGAGAGGUACUGGUGGCUGUGUCUUACAGUAUAGCAUACAGAAGGUGGUCAGCUAUCAUAUUUCUUCCCAGCUUCCAUUGGUAAUUGAGAGCUUCCUGGAGGAGGGAAAGAGAGCAGUUUCUUUUUUUUCAUAUCAGGUUUUUUUCACACUGAUUUCAAAGGAAGGGUUCAAAUGCGACUCUGAAUGUCGCAUCCUUCAUAUAGUUAGUGUAUUUUUCUAUUAGGACUGUUUUCUAAUUUUAGAGAGCGACUUAAACCUUCGGGAUCUUGUACAUCUCUUGAACUUCUUUAGUAUUCCUUUGUCUUCUGUAGUUACCCAAAGCAUUUUAUGCUAAGAUUUCUAGAUCCUCUGAGGCAUUGUACUUGGAUAGUUUGCUCUGUGUGUGCACCUUCCAUAGUUUAAUAGCAAACAAUAUAUAGUUUGAUGUAAAUAAAUUUGUAUAGCCUUUCUUUUGAGGGAAGAGA
rnacentral:lncRNA from 1 species